rnacentral:rRNA from 1 species
UGGUGGAGUGAUUUGUCUGGUUAAUUCCGUUAACGAACGAGACCUCAGCCUGCUAAAUAGACACAAGAUCUUCACGGAUCUUGCUGUACUUCUUAGAGGGACUAUGUAUGUUUAAUACAUGGAAGUUUGAGGCAAUAACA